UUAGAUACCCUUGUAGUCCACGCCGUAAACGAUGAAUACUAGGUGUCAGGGGGCAUGGACCGCUGGGGCCCCAGCAAACCCCAUAAGUAUUUCCACUGGGGAAUACCUUCGCAAGAAUGAAACUUAAAAGAAUUGACCGGGACCCCCACCAACCGGGGAACCUGGGGGUUAAUUCCAACCCACCCCAAAAACCUUACCAAGCCCUGACAUUCCGCCGGAAUCAUAUGUAACGCCUGUUCCCUUUCUGGGCGGCGGAGACAGGUGGUGCAUGGUUGUCGUCAGCUCGUGUCGUGAGAUGUUGGGUUAAGUCCCGCAACGAGCGCAACCCCUACCCCCAGUAGCCAGCGCGCAAAGGCGGGCACUCUGUGGGGACUGCCACGGACAACCUGGAGGAAGGCGGNGAUGACGUCAAAUCAUCAUGCCCCUUAUGGCUUGGGCUACACACGUGCUACAAUGGCGCCAACAGAGGGAUGCGAUGCGGCGACGCCGAGCGAACCCCAGAAACAGCGCCCNCAGUUCGGAUUGCAGCCUGCAACUCGGCUGCAUGAAGCCGGAAUCGCUAGUAAUCGCGGAUCAGAAUGCCGCGGUGAAUACGUUCCCGGGUCUUGUACACACCGCCCGUCCACCAUGGGAGUCGGGAAUGCCCGAAAUCAGCGCCCCACCGCAAGAGGGAGCUGCCGAAGCCAGACCGAUGACUGGGGUGAAAUCGAACAGGUAAACCGAAUUCAAC
rnacentral:rRNA from 1 species